CCUACGGGUGGCUGCAGUGGGGAAUAUUGGUCAAUGGGGGCAACCCUGAUCCAGCCAUGCCGCGUGUGUGAAGAAGGCCCUCGGGUUGUAAAGCACUUUCAGUGAGGAAGAACGCCUGGUGGUUAAUACCCAUCAGGAAAGACAUCACUCACAGAAGAAGCACCGGCUAACUCCGUGCCAGCAGCCGCGGUAAUACGGAGGGUGCGAGCGUUAAUCGGAAUUACUGGGCGUAAAGCGCGCGUAGGUGGCUUGAUAAGCCGGUUGUGAAAGCCCCGGGCUCAACCUGGGAACGGCAUCCGGAACUGUCAAGCUAGAGUGCAGGAGAGGAAGGUAGAAUUCCCGGUGUAGCGGUGAAAUGCGUAGAGAUCGGGAGGAAUACCAGUGGCGAAGGCGGCCUUCUGGACUGACACUGACACUGAGGUGCGAAAGCGUGGGUAGCAAACAGGAUUAGAUACCCCAGUAGUC
rnacentral:rRNA from 1 species